UCUACGGGUGGCAGCAGUGGGGAAUAUUGGGCAAUGGGCGCAAGCCUGACCCAGCAACGCCGCGUGAAGGAAGAAGGCUUUCGGGUUGUAAACUUCUUUUCGCAGGGACGAAGCAAGUGACGGUACCUGAGGAAUAAGCCACGGCUAACUACGUGCCAGCAGCCGCGGUAAUACGUAGGUGGCAAGCGUUAUCCGGAUUGCAUGGGGGUAAAGGGCGUGUAGGUGGGAAAGCAAGUCAGAUUUGAAAACCAUGGGCUCACCCCGUGGCCUGCAUUUGAAACUGUUUUUCUUGAGUACUGGAGAGGCAGACGGAAUUCCUGGUGUAGCGGUGAAAUGCGUAGAUAUUAGGAUGAACCCCGGUGGCGAAGGCGGUCUGCUGGACAGCAACUGACGCUGAGGCGCGAAAGCGUGGGGAGCAAACAGGAUUAGAUACCCUUGUAGUC
rnacentral:rRNA from 1 species